rnacentral:sRNA from 1 species
AAGAAACAGGAUUCUGUGGCUUUGGUGAUUCUUGUAAGUUCCUCCAUGAUCGCUCAGACUAUAAACAUGGAUGGCAGUUAGAAAGAGAAAUGGAACAAGGAACUUAUGGUGCAAAAGAUGAGCAGAACUAUGAAAUUAGCAGUGACGAGGAUGAUCUCCCUUUUAAGUGCUUCAUCUGCAGAAAUUCCUUCAAAGAUCCUGUGACCACAA